AUCCUUUAUGGUUCAUAAAUGAUGAUUGGGUUUUCAUGCUGCUGUGUGAGAUGUAUCUCCCUCAAACUUAUAUAAGUUAUACACCAUAAUGUAUAAUGACUUUGUUAUGAUGUCACCAUAUGAAUGACCCAGCUGAUG
ensembl:snoRNA